rnacentral:rRNA from 1 species
UGGGGAAUAUUGGACAAUGGGCGCAAGCCUGAUCCAGCCAUGCCGCGUGAGUGAAGAAGGCCUUCGGGUUGUAAAGCUCUUUCAGAUGCGAAGAUGAUGACGGUACCAUCAGAAGAAGCCCCGGCUAAUUUCGUGCCAGCAGCCGCGGUAAUACGAAAGGGGCAAGCGUUGUUCGGAUUUACUGGGCGUAAAGGGCACGCAGGCGGUCUUGCCAGUCAGGGGUGAAAGCCCGGGGCUCAACCCCGGAACUGCCUCUGAUACUGCAAGACUAGAGACUAGGAGAGGGUGGUGGAAUUCCCAGUGUAGAGGUGAAAUUCGUAGAUAUUGGGAGGAACACCAGAGGCGAAGGCGGCCACCUGGACUAGAUCUGACGCUCAGGUGCGAAAGCGUGGGGAGCAAACAGGAUUAGAUACCCUGGUAGUCCACGCCGUAAACGAUGAGUGCUAGUUGUCGGGAAUUCGGUUUCGGUGACGCAGCUAACGGCAAUAANCAA